UUUAAUAUGUCCUGCUAUUUCUAUCAUAGAAUUUUGUAAUUAUUUAUACAUUUAUUCAUUUAUCAGUUUUUUGCAAUUCUGUAUAAUCUAGUUAGAGGGCCACAGGUUAGUCAGCUUUUCAGCUGUUACGUGUCCCCCUCUUCAAAUAAAGUCUUCAUUAUUAUUAUAGUGGGUUUGAAUGGAGAAUCUCUGUAAAUAUUUAUUGUGUAAUUAGAUAUACUUUUUUGAACUUCCUAUGUAGAAUGCAUUUCAGUCACAUGAUGUUUUAAAGUUAAAGACUAUAGAGUCCUUAAGUGUGACGUCACGUUACCAUGGCGCUAAAAAAUGCAGUUCUAAACAAAAUAUCUUAUGCGAGCGAUUUGGACACGCUUUUUUGUUUUGAAUGUCUAAAGCUUUAGUUAUCCAGUGUAAUCCCACAAACGACAAUAAAAAAAACAGGAAAGGUUAAAGGGUCAUCCAAGGGAUCAACUUUCGUCGAAGAAGUGUAAAGGACGCGGGUCAAACGGGCAAAAUGGUUUACUGUUUUGCUCCUACAUGUGGCCAUUCGUCGGAGGACAACACUUGCAAGUUCUUCGCUUUUCCACGACGAGUAUAAGAGAUGGAUUCGACUCAUAAGAUUUCUUUUCUUCUGAGAAGAAAGAAAAAAGUGAAGCAAUGGAUAAUGUCUCCAUUUUGAAUCGAAUGGGCGCUUGUUUGGAACUGAGAUUUUUAGCACCAUGGAAACGUGACGUCACCACUUAAGGACUCUAUUA